rnacentral:rRNA from 1 species
UACGGAGGGGGCAAGCGUUGUCCGGAUUCAUUGGGCGUAAAGAGCGUGUAGGCGGCCAGGUAGGUCGGUUGUGAAAACUGGAGGCUCAACCUUCAGAGGUCGACCGAAACCAUCUGGCUAGAGUCCGGGAGAGGAGAGUGGAAUUCCUGGUGUAGCGGUGAAAUGCGCAGAUAUCAGGAAGAACACCCGUGGCGAAGGCGGCUCUCUGGGACGGUACUGACGCUGAGACGCGAAAGCGUGGGGAGCGAACAGG